UGACUAUCAAACUUCUAGCUUUUGCGUC
rnacentral:piRNA from 1 species